AGAAUGAACGUUGGCGGCGUGGAUUAGGCAUGCAAGUCGUGCGCGAACUGUAGCAAUACAGGGAGAGCGGCGAAAGGGAGAGUAAUACAUGGUUAGCUGCCCUCGGGUCUGGGAUAGGCGGCGGGAAACUGACCGGUAAUACCGGAUGAUAUCUUCGGAUACAAGGUGUGACUUCCGCCGAGGAGGUCGACCGUGUCCUAUCAGCUAGUUGGUGAGGUA
rnacentral:rRNA from 1 species